GUGCUACAGGUCGAAGGUAAAUUAUGGUUUAAAUAUGUACAAACUCUGAUGCUAAGGCUUUGUUGGUAUAAAACAAAGUGGGAGUUCAUUCGUCUGUAGUUAGAUUAGUCUUCACUGUGCCAGUAAAGUGAAAGAAAAGUACAUUCUAGCAUGUGCUGGCUUCUAAUGAAUGUCGCUGUGAUAAGCGCUAUGUCAUUAGCUGUGUCUCUCUUGUGAUCCAAUAAGUUCUAACAAACUGUGAAGUGUGUAUAACACAAUGGCCGUUUGACAGCUACAGCAAUGUUUGCGGUUUCUAACCUGCUACAGAGGACGAUUAAAACUGAAAACAGUGCAAAACUUACCGUGUUGCUUGAUAAAGAAUGAGUGAUUGGCGCCGAUAAUGGUGAAUUCACAUGUUUUGAAGUAAACUGCUCAAAAGGUGACAGGUCACUUUGCCAGAAGUUGAUGAGUACUUUAAAAGUACUCAUCAGUGAAUCAAAAAGAAGUGACACCUGUUUGAGUACUGCUCACAGUAGGUGCGAAGAUAAUCUUCUUACGUAGUGUUAAAGCAUCCCCCAUUGUUUUAAUCUAUGAUCCAGAUCACAAGGAUUAGUGACACUGCAGGAAACAAAGGAGAAUUAAAGCCACCCAUGAUGAUUCAGGUUUACUUAUCCUCAGCAUUCUUGUCAAUAUGGGGUAGGCCAAUCUUUUCACCUUUUAUGCAACAUUGAUUCAUUCAAAGGCAUCUUCAAGAUCCUUGUCAACCAUGAUGCAAGCCAAGUGCUGACAUUCACCUUUCGUAAAACACAAGUACAUAUCCUCUCCAUUCCUCCCAUGAGUACAACAGAAGACAACAUUUUGGGGUGACUAGAGACAGAUAAAUCCAUCAUCUGCAAUUAAUCCUGCCAUCUUUGAUGAACACUUCACACUUCAUUUUAUAUUUUCACCAUUUGUGACGCAAACCUUGUUUCUGCACAGGUAGUCUAAAUCACCUCUGUUGAGGCUUGUUGUCUCAAUUGGUUUUAAUCUUGGUGCAUGCAAUACAAUCCAUCAGUUUUCUUGUAAAUCAUCACUUCAUUCGAAUAAAGUUUGUCAUUUUAUUUAAAAUAAUAAUCGAAUAUAAUA